CCUGCAUUUGGAGAUGUUACAGAUACUGCUGCUGUAUCACAUGUGCCUCAGUAAGUGGCAUAGAGGAGUGAGUAAGUGUAGGCUCUGUGUUCAGACUACAAACUUCUGAAUGAUUAGUAGACUGCCAUU